CUUGCGGAGAGUUAUAUAAACGAAAGUAGCUAAGGCGAAAUCGGACUCAAAGAAACAAGAA
ncrna:unclassified sequences RAGATH-18 RNA